rnacentral:miRNA from 1 species
GUAGAGCAAUUAUUGUCGGGCUCG